rnacentral:tRNA from 1 species
CCCACUCUUGCGUAGUUGGUCUGCGCGCCUGGCUGAAGCCCGGGAGGUUCUGGUUCGAUUCCAGAGGGUGGGA